rnacentral:tRNA from 1 species
GCCUGAAUGGCGGAACUGGUAGACGCGCACGACUCAAAAUCGUGUUCCUUCGGGAGUGCCGGUUCGAUUCCGGCUUCAGGUACUA